rnacentral:rRNA from 1 species
GAGUUUGAUCAUGGCUCAGGACGAACGCUGGCGGCGGGCCUAACACAUGCAAGUCGAAGGAGAAUCAGAACUUCGGUUUUGAGGAGACUGGCGCACGGGUGAGUAACGCGUAGACAAUUUGCCGACAGGUGGGGAAUAACUCCGCGAAAGCGGGGCUAAUACCGCAUGAUGCAGCGGGGCCGCAUGGCCACAGUUGUUAAAACUCCGGUGCCUGUCGAUAAGUCUGCGUCGCAUUAGUUAGUUGGUGGGGUAAUGGCCCACCAAGACGAUGAUGCGUAGGGGGUCUGAGAGGAUGAUCCCCCACACGGGAACUGAGACACGGUCCCGACUCCUACGGGAGGCAGCAGUGAGGAAUCUUGCGCAAUGGAGGAAACUCUGACGCAGCCACGCCGCGUGCAGGAAGACGGCCCUACGGGUUGUAAACUGCUUUUCUGUCGGAAGAACCCCCCGAUUCGUCGGGGACUGACGGUACGACAGGAAUAAGCACCGGCUAACUCCGUGCCAGCAGCCGCGGUAAUACGGAGGGUGCAAGCGUUGUCCGGAAUCAUUGGGUGUAAAGGGUGCGUAGGCGGAUGUUUAAGUCUGGGGUGAAAUCUUGCGGCUCAACCGUAAAACUGCCUCGGAUACUGGAUAUCUUGAGUGUGAGAGAGGCCGGCGGAAUUCGUAGUGUAGCGGUGAAAUGCUUAGAUAUUACGAAGAACACCAGUGGUGAAUACGGCUGGCUGGAUCACAACUGACGCUGAGGCACGAGAGCGUGGGGAGCGAACAGGAUUAGAUACCCUGGUAGUCCACGCUGUAAACGAUGUGUGCUAGGUGUUGGCCCUUUUGGGUCAGUACCGUAGCUAACGCGUUAAGCACACCACCUGGGGAGUACGUUCGCAAGAAUGAAACUCAAAGGAAUUGACGGGGGCCCGCGCAAGCGGUGGAGCAUGUGGCUUAAUUCGAUGCAACGCGAAGAACCUUACCCGGGCUAAAUCACAUCCGACCGAUCCUGAAAAGGGUCUUUCCUUCGGGACGGGUGUGAAGGUGCUGCAUGGCUGUCGUCAGCUCGUGCCGUGAGGUGUUGGGUUAAGUCCCGCAACGAGCGCAACCCCUAUGGCUAGUUACCAGCGCAUUAUGGCGGGGACUCUAGUCAGACUGCCUACGCAAGUAGAGAGGAAGGUGGGGACGACGUCAAGUCAUCAUGGCCCUUACGUCCGGGGCUGCACACGUGCUACAAUGGGCGGUACAGAGGGUGGCUACCCCGCGAGGGGAUGCAAAUCUCAAAAACCGUUCACAGUUCGGAUUGUGGUCUGCAACUCGACCACAUGAAGGUGGAAUCGCUAGUAAUCGCGUAUCAGCAACGACGCGGUGAAUACGUUCCCGGGCCUUGUACACACCGCCCGUA